rnacentral:rRNA from 1 species
AGUCGAGGGGUAUAGGCUUUCGGCCCUAGAGACCGGCGCACGGGUGCGUAACGCGUAUGCAAUCUACCUUUCACAGAGGGAUAGCCCAGAGAAAUUUGGAUUAAUACCUCAUGGUAUAUAGAAGUGGCAUCACUUUUAUAUUAAAGUCACAACGGUGAAAGAUGAGCAUGCGUCCCAUUAGCUAGUUGGUAAGGUAACGGCUUACCAAGGCGACGAUGGGUAGGGGUCCUGAGAGGGAGAUCCCCCACACUGGUACUGAGACACGGACCAGACUCCUACGGGAGGCAGCAGUGAGGAAUAUUGGUCAAUGGGCGCAAGCCUGAACCAGCCAUGCCGCGUGCAGGAUGAAGCAUCUAUGGUGUGUAAACUGCUUUUGUACGGGAAGAAACAGAGGUUCGUGAACCUCCUUGACGGUACCGUAAGAAUAAGGAUCGGCUAACUCCGUGCCAGCAGCCGCGGUAAUACGGAGGAUCCAAGCGUUAUCCGGAAUCAUUGGGUUUAAAGGGUCCGUAGGCGGUUUAGUAAGUCAGUGGUGAAAGCCCAUCGCUCAACGGUGGAACGGCCAUUGAUACUGCUAGACUUGAAUUAUUAGGAAGUAACUAGAAUAUGUAGUGUAGCGGUGAAAUGCUUAGAUAUUACAUGGAAUACCAAUUGCGAAGGCAGGUUACUACUAAUGGAUUGACGCUGAUGGACGAAAGCGUGGGUAGCGAACAGGAUUAGAUACCCUGGUAGUCCACGCCGUANACGAUGGAUACUAGCUGUUCGGAGNCAUCUGAGUGGCUAAGCGAAAGUGAUAAGUAUCCCACCUGGGGAGUACGGGCGCAAGCCUGAAACUCAAAGGAAUUGACGGGGGCCCGCACAAGCGGUGGAGCAUGUGGUUUAAUUCGAUGAUACGCGAGGAACCUUA